GCACUGCUGAGGAGUCCGAGAAUAGAACGAAACGGUCGUCCAGUGC
rfam:Schistosoma mattheei strain Denwood, Zambia genome assembly, scaffold: SMTD_scaffold0000112